GAUGAACGCUGGCGGCGUGCCUAAUACAUGCAAGUCGAGCGAACAGACGAGGAGCUUGCUCCUCUGACGUUAGCGGCGGCCGGGUGAGUAACACGUGGAUAACCUACCUAUAAGACUGGGAUAACUUCGGGAAACCGGAGCUAAUACCGGAUAAUAUAUUGAACCGCAUGGUUCAAUAGUGAAAGACGGUUUUGCUGUUACUUAUAGAUGGAUCCGCGCCGCAUUAGCUAGUUGGUAAGGUAACGGCUUACCAAGGCAACGAUGCGUAGCCGACCUGAGAGGGUGAUCGGCCACACUGGAACUGAGACACGGUCCAGACUCCGACGGGAGGCAGCAGUAGGGAAUCUUCCGCAAUGGGCGAAAGCGUGACGGAGCAACGCCGCGUGAGUGAUGAAGGUGUUCGGAUCGUAAAGCUCUGUUAGUAGGGAAGAACAAAUGUGUAAGUAACUAUGCACGUCUUGACGGUACCUAAUCAGAAAGCCACGGCUAACUACGUG
rnacentral:rRNA from 1 species